rnacentral:rRNA from 1 species
CUACGGGUGGCAGCAGUAAGGAAUAUUGGUCAAUGGACGCAAGUCUGAACCAGCCAUGCCGCGUGAAGGAUGAAGGUCCUCUGGAUUGUAAACUUCUUUUAUAGGGGGCGAAAAAAGGGAAAUCUUUCUCACUUGACAGUACCCUAUGAAUAAGCACCGGCUAACUCCGUGCCAGCAGCCGCGGUAAUACGGAGGGUGCAAGCGUUAUCCGGAUUCACUGGGUUUAAAGGGUGCGUAGGCGGGCGUAUAAGUCAGUGGUGAAAUCCUGGAGCUUAACUCCAGAACUGCCAUUGAUACUAUAUGUCUUGAAUAUGGUGGAGGUAAGCGGAAUAUGUCAUGUAGCGGUGAAAUGCAUAGAUAUGACAUAGAACACCUAUUGCGAAGGCAGCUUACUACGCCUAUAUUGACGCUGAGGCACGAAAGCGUGGGGAUCAAACAGGAUUAGAUACCCUGGUAGUC